GUCACCCGGCACGUGCGCCGGGGGCCGGCCGGACCGUGAGGGGCGGGGUGCCCACGGGCCGGCGGAGCCCGACCCGACCCCGGCCCGACCGGGAACGGGGCCCGGCCUCUCCCGGCGCCUGGCGGGGCCGCCUCGGCCAGGAUCGGCCUUUCCAGGCCCCGCUCGCUUGGGACCUCCUCAGGGGAGCCCUGCCUGACUGCCAGCCUCCCGUCCCUCCUCACUGCAUGAUGGCUGUGGAAAGACAAAGCAGAGCUGCAGAGAGGACACCCACCUCAGGGCCUUCAUUGCUGAAAUGUCAACAUCCCCUGCAGCUCUCUGUGGUUUGGGGCCCUUUUGUGCGACAGAUGUUUUCAAGUUCAUUUAGAGAUUUAUAACCUUUGGGCCAGAAGAUAAUCCAAGGCAGGCAUGGAGCAAGCCCUCAUCUUCACGCCUUUCCUGCCUGAGAGACUGGACAGCAAUGCAGGGCACCGAGGCUGGACGAGUGCGUUGUGCGCCGCCGCGGGCGGCCGCUGGGCCUCACUUUCUGCUCUCCCACCAUCGGGCUGUGGCGUAACUCACAGUGGUUUCACCAAAGACAUUUCCUAGUUAAAAAAAUGGAAUCAGUGUGGGCAGAAGGGCAAAACCCGUUAUAUGUUUAUUUUUAAUAAAGUCGGCACA